AAACGGAUCUUGUAAGUUGAGAACUUCUAGAACCUAACCGAAAGCUGAGUUAACUCAAGAAGCUGCAAUGCAAAGGCUUAAAUCCUUCUGGAAUCACUGAGGCUGGCAGUGUGGGGUCAAACAGCAACUGGUUUCAACCUUCACAAUUCCGAUCCGCCCAGAAGAGAGCUAGAAAAGCAGGAAGAUAAACCAAGAAGUGGACCUCCUGGAUCUGCUUUGAUAAUUCCCUUAAUACUCUUAGUUAUGUCAAUAUAAGUUUGUACCUUGUGGCUGCAGAGCAGGUACCUAUUGAAGAUCCAGGACGCAUGAGAACAUGAAUGCCUAGAAAUUCUUGACUAGGUUUGGUAAGCCCAAUCCCGAGCAACAAACAGUAAAUAACAUUUCAUUUGUAGAUCAAGUGAAAUCCAUCUUUUCCCAAGUCAGAUCAACCGGGAAUGGGGUGCAGGGGUUUAGUGAAGCUAUUUCAAACCAUACUGGCUGAAUCGCUAUCCCCCUAGUUCCAAAUUUCCAAUCUGAGGAUGAUAUACAACAUAUUUAGCAACCUGUACGGCAGCAUACAUUUUAUAGAUAAAUGUAUUUCUAUACAUCAGAAUAGAAAAAAUUUUCAAAAUUUCAAUAUUUCAAAAAUAUUUUCUUUCUAUUCUCUAAAUAAACUAAGCUAUAUGUCAUGAAACU